rnacentral:rRNA from 1 species
UACGAAGGGGGCUAGCGUUGCUCGGAAUCACUGGGCGUAAAGGGCGCGUAGGCGGCCAUUUAAGUCGGGGGUGAAAGCCUGUGGCUCAACCACAGAAUUGCCUUUGAUACUGGAUGGCUUGAGACCGGAAGAGGUAAGUGGAACUGCGAGUGUAGAGGUGAAAUUCGUAGAUAUUCGCAAGAACACCAGUGGCGAAGGCGGCUUACUGGUCCGGAUCUGACGCUGAGGCGCGAAAAGCGUGGGGAGCAAACAGG